GUUGAGUCACGGGUCGAUUUAAUCAUGACUUAUGAGUGACGAUAUACUUGAUGUUGAAGGCAUUGUUACCCAACAAGUGGGGAGUUUGAUUUGGUUGGGACAAAUUGAACGAUCUGCGGUAGCAGCGAUAAAUGACGUGGUGUGGUUGGAAGUUGAGCCAUGCCCGGAUGUUGUUGUUAUUUUGUGAUGUUGAUGAGAUUUGUCAAUUGUUGUGGUGAUGUCAAGUUGUUUGCGGAUCUUAGUUUAACUUUGAUCUUAGUUUUAUGCUUAAUUAGUAUCUUCAUGAGGUAUGCACUAUCAGUUCGAUUGUAUGGCAUGUUGUUGUUUGAUUGUUGCCUUACGAUUGGAUUGUUGGUGCAACCGAUGACAUGAUUUGGCUUGUUAAUCUUAAAACUGUGAUGACAAUUUGUCGUUAUUGUUUGUUGAUGAAUGUUGUUGAAUGGUGAUGCAAGGGUUUCUGGUUUGAUGUGUUGUUGUUGAUGACAUUCGUCUCGAGGUGAUGUGAUGUCAUGUUGCCUGUGUAUCCUGGUAUUGAGCUGUUGAGUUUAAUACCAGUGGAUUAUCAGUUUGUGACACGGCAUCGCUCCCUUGGUUGAUGAAAGUCAUCCAAUGAUGCGGUGGUUUGUUUCUUUUCUUCUCGCAUCGUUCGGUGCAUUCUGUGGUCAUUUUGGCUGUUGGCAGCUUGCUUGGCAUUUGAGCUUGGUGGGUUGCUACUGGUUGGGUGUCUUCGGGGAUGUCUACUGUAAAGGUGCAUGAAUGGUGUUUGGUUUGUUACGGGUGGUUGGCUAUUUGCUUGCGCAACAACUUCUACCUGGCAUACCUCUUCAGUCUUGUGUCAAUGCUUUUAUUGCAUUGAAUGCAUGAUGGGUUUCUUGUGUUGCAUGCCUAAUUAAUGGUAUCACUUGAUGAAUUGGUUUUACUUUCGUCUGGCAUUGCCUAUGCGAUGUGAGAUGAACCUUGAAGCAGCCUUUGUGAUCCACUCUUUUGAUGCAUACGCAUUGAUUUUGUGGCUCAUUGAGUGUUGCUCGGUCUCAUGGAUACGGAACCUGGUGUGGGCAUGGAAUCUUAAUGGUUCCUUGUUUGCCCAAGUUUAGCUUUUCUAAAACGAUUGUCU
rnacentral:misc_RNA from 1 species